rnacentral:rRNA from 1 species
UGUUUUGUGCUUUUGGGAUAUACCUGAAAGCGUGCCUGCUUUAGUGUCUAU